rnacentral:tRNA from 1 species
GCACUCGUAGCUCAGCUGGAUAGAGCGUUGCCCUCCGAAGGCAGAGGUCACAGGUUCGAAUCCUGUCGAGUGCGCCA